rnacentral:rRNA from 1 species
GAACUGCAGGACACAUGAACACCGACACGUUGAACGCAUAUUGCACAUCGUACAACAGUACGAUGUACACAUUUUUGAGUGCCUAUAUUUAUCCAUUCAACUAUACGUGCCGUCGCUCUCUCGGGGGUGACGGCCGUAUGCGUAGUGAUGUUUUCCCGCCUUCGGUGCGCGAUAAAACAUUGAAGAUAGUCAGACGCGUCGCGGCCAGCAGUGGCCCGGUGCGGUUGAUGAGUACAUCCCAUUGCGCGAUCCACCGCGAUCCAAGCGAUGUUGUGCUCCAUCUAUUCGUUGACUUACUCUCACUUGACUGUGAUAAAGACAAUUCAGUAGGCCUCAAAUAAUGUGUGACUACCCCCUAAAUUUAAGCAU